rnacentral:rRNA from 1 species
CCUACGGGGGGCAGCAGUGGGGAAUAUUGGGCAAUGGAGGAAACUCUGACCCAGCAAUGCCGCGUGAAUGAAGAAGGUCUUCGGAUUGUAAAGUUCUUUAGUCAGGGAAGAAUAAAAUGACGGUACCUGAAGACUAAGCUUCGGCUAACUACGUGCCAGCACUCGCGGCAAUACGUAGGGAGCAAGCGUGGUUCGGAAUGACUGGGCGUAAAGGGUGCGUAGGCGGUUAUGAAAGUUAGAAGUGAAAUACCCAGAGCUUAACUCGGGUGGUGCUUCUAAAACUGUAAGACUUGAGUGCAGUAGAGGUAAGUGGAAUGCCUAGUGUAGCGGUGGAAUGCGUAGAUAUUAGGAGGAACACCAGAGGCGAAGGCAGCUAACUGGACUGCAACUGACGCUGAGGCACGAAAGUGUGGGGAGCAAACAGGAUUAGAUACCCUUGUAGUC